AACGAACGCUGGCGGCAGGCCUAACACAUGCAAGUCGAGCGAAGCCUUCGGGCUUAGCGGCGGACGGGUGAGUAACGCGUGGGAACGUGCCCUUUGGUACGGAAUAGCCCCGGGAAACUGGGAGUAAUACCGUAUGUGGUCGAGAGACGAAAGAUUUAUCGCCAAAGGAUCGGCCCGCGGUGGAUUAGGUAGUUGGUGGGGUAAUGGCCUACCAAGCCGACGAUCCAUAGCUGGGUUGAGCGGAUGAUCAGCCAAACUGGGACUGAGACACGGCCCCGACUCCUACGGGAGGCAGCAGUGGGGAAUCUUAGCCAAUGGGGGAAACCCUGAUCUAGCCAUGCCGCGUAAUCGAUGACGGCCUUCGGGUUGUAAAGCUCUUUUGUCCGGGAAGAUAAUGACUGUACCGGAAGAAUAAGCCCCGGCAAACUUCGUGCCAGCCGCCGCAGUAACAC
rnacentral:rRNA from 1 species